rnacentral:lncRNA from 1 species
AAAGAAGUAUGCAUGCGUUGAUAAAUUAGUAUUAUACAAAGAAAAAAUACUCUUCACACAAACCCUAGGGAGCUAUUAGAGCAGGGAAAGUUUAAGAAGAUAAGGUUUUCUUUGAAGGUGUAAGUUUUAAAAUGAGUUUAAAAACCAAGGAGCUACAUGGAGUGAGAGUGUCCUGACUGGGUAGAGAUGCAGAGCUGGAAGGGGACCACAUACACGGGGACCUACAGGAGGCGGAGCGUCAUGGGCUUGUCUCGGAUGGCAGAAGGAGGCUAACAUUGAAGAUAGAGGCCAUGUCUGCUGUCCUCCUCCAAGAAGGCUGCCUCCCGCCACUUCCCAGAAGCCUCGAACCAAAAGACAAGAGGAAGAAUUCAUACAGGACAGUGAACACCAUGGAACCCGUCUUAGUCUGUUCAGGCCGCUAUAACAGAAUAUCAUAGACUGAGUGGUUUAUAAACAACAGAAAUUUAUUUCUCACAGUUCCGGAGUCUGGGAAGUUCCAGAUCAAGGUCCAGCAGAUUUAGUGUCCAGUGAGAUGCCCCCCUCUGGUUCAUACACGGCUGUCUUCUCACUAUAACCUCACACCAUGGGGGCUCUUUUACAAGGGUGCUAAUCCCAUUCGUGAGGACUCCGCCCUCACCAUCUGAUCACCUCCCAAAAGUUCCACCUCCUAAUCCUAUCACUUUGGGGAUUAGGAUUUCAACAUAUGAUUUUUGGGGAGGCACAAACAUUCAGUCUACAGCAGAAUUCCAGCUAAGUCAACAAGAAGGCAACCCCUGAAGAUUCUUCUGCAACCCUGAGAUCAAAUAGGACCCAAACAGAGGUCACGAUUUCCUCUGAAGCUAUGCUCACAGGAAAUGAAAGACCAAGGAGGGGGUCGGCAGACAGACAGACACGAGGAAUCGCACUCAAUGAACCAUACACACUGGAGCAAUCUGAAAGGAACUUUAAAGAUUUCAAAUGCCAAAGAGAUAGAGGGAGGAAAAGAAUCUAAUAUGGCAAGAACAGAACAUUUUGAGGAAAAAACAAGCAGAUUUGAGAGGGAGUCAAAUGGAGUGGAUUGAAUUAUAACAUAUUGACUUGACCUGAAUUAAACACCAAACAGACCAAUUAUUAACUAAGCUUGGUUGUAAAUAUUGCCUAAGAAUAGGAAAAAAGUGAAGGAAAUAAAUACGAAUUUGCCAAUUAAAGAAUGUUUCAUUAUUCUAGAGUUAUUUAGAAAAAUUAUUUUUAAAAAUCAUUCUAAACUUUCUCUCUCAACAUCUACAGUUAUUUGUUUUACAGCGAUUUAUAUUGGGAGAAAAAGGCCAUGAUUUUACCCGCGUAAACACAUAGGUCCAGUGGUUUGAAUCGGGGAUCGUGGCUCCACGCUUACAAAGAGGACCCGAGUGGAAACAGGCAGCUUGGCAGACAGCAUAAGGUGACGCCGAUGCUGUUUGGUGAACCACAUUUUGAACAGCAAGGCCCUAAAGCUUCUUUCAACCAACCAUGCCCAGCUUAAAGGAGGCACUCAUUUAUUGAGUUAUGGAGAAAAGAAGAGAGAAAGAGGAGGAGGGAUGGUUGUGGAGGAAAGGAGAUGGAAGAGCAUUAUGAACACAACACCCAGGACUGCAAACUAACAUGAGCCAUAAUUGAAGGGCCAGAUUUCUUGAAAAACGCCUGUUACAUAGGCAAGAUGAGGCACCUGGUUCUAACAGGCA